rnacentral:pre_miRNA from 1 species
UUAAUACUCUCUCCGUCCCAUAUUAAGUGACUUUUUAUUACAUGUGUGUAGACGCUUUUUAGAUAUAGAUACAUUCAUAUUUGGACAAAUUUGAGUCACUUAAUAUGGGAUGGAGGGAGUAUCAG